rnacentral:rRNA from 1 species
UACGGAGGGAGCUAGCAUUGUUCGGAAUUACUGGGCGUAAAGCGCACGUAGGCGGCUUUUUAAGUCAGGGGUGAAAUCCCGGGGCUCAACCCCGGAACUGCCCUUGAAACUGGAGAGCUAGAAUCUUGGAGAGGCGAGUGGAAUUCCGAGUGUAGAGGUGAAAUUCGUAGAUAUUCGGAAGAACACCAGUGGCGAAGGCGACUCGCUGGACAAGUAUUGACGCUGAGGUGCGAAAGCGUGGGGAGCAAACAGG